rnacentral:rRNA from 1 species
CUUGAGUUUGAUCAUGGCUCAGAUUGAACGCUGGCGGCAGGCCUAACACAUGCAAGUCGAGCGGAAACGAUGGAAGCUUGCUUCCAGGCGUCGAGCGGCGGACGGGUGAGUAAUGCAUGGGAAUCUGCCCGAUAGUGGGGGAUAACCUGGGGAAACCCAGGCUAAUACCGCAUACGUCCUACGGGAGAAAGCAGGGGAUCUUCGGACCUUGCGCUAUCGGAUGAGCCCAUGUCGGAUUAGCUUGUUGGUGAGGUAAUGGCUCACCAAGGCGACGAUCCGUAGCUGGUCUGAGAGGAUGAUCAGCCACAUCGGGACUGAGACACGGCCCGAACUCCUACGGGAGGCAGCAGUGGGGAAUAUUGGACAAUGGGCGAAAGCCUGAUCCAGCCAUGCCGCGUGUGUGAAGAAGGCCCUCGGGUUGUAAAGCACUUUCAGUGGGGAAGAAAGCCUUGGGAUUAAUACUCCCGAGGAAGGACAUCACCCACCAGAGAAGCCG